UACGUAGGGGGCAAGCGUUGUCCGGAAUUAUUGGGCGUAAAGAGCGCGUAGGCGGUCCGGUAAGUCGGUUGUGAAAGUCGGGGGCUCAACCCUCGGAUGCCGAUCGAUACUGUCGGUCUAGAGUCCGGAAGAGGCGAGUGGAAUUCCUGGUGUAGCGGUGAAAUGCGCAGAUAUCAGGAGGAACACCAAUGGCGAAGGCAGCUCGCUGGGACGGUACUGACGCUGAGGCGCGAAAGCGUGGGGAGCAAACAGG
rnacentral:rRNA from 1 species